GACAUUGCGAAGAUGAUCAAUGUGAGAAAGACUUGCAAGAUCAGUCUCUUCAGCACAGAUGAGCUGCAGAUCACCUCAUGUAAAUGAAGGAACUGAACCUCAGAAGUUUCCUGACAGCUAUGUGUGGAAAGAUUCUAAUGUUUCUGUUUACAUCUCUGACAUUCCUGAACUCACUGAAGCCAGGGAAAAAGAAACAUGCAAACAAGGAAACUUAAAAGAGCACCAUUCAUAUGGAUGUACGUGUACAGGUGUUGGCAUUAGGUGUCUGCUGGAGUUGCUUCUCUCAGGAGAGGCCAGGGUCUGCCCCGUGCCAUUUCUAUUUCAUUCCAGCCAGCUCCAAAGGACACAUUGCAGAGAACAGCAGAGUGCAUCAGCCAAGUUGGUGUCAUCUCUAGAAUAACAUACUUACAAAACAGCUGAAAAAACACCCAGGAAGUGUGAAAGUGGGAGAGGAAGAUACUACAUUGGCUAUUAAGAAAAUUUCUUCUCAGAAAUAAUGGUAAUGCAUUGGAACAGUCUGCCCAGGGAGGUGGUGGAGUCACCAUCCCUGGACGUGUUCAAGAAAUGUGUGUGUAGAUGUGGCACUUUGGGACAAGGUUUACGGGGCACAGCUGGUGAUGAAUUAACAGUUGGACUAGAUGUACUUAAAGGUCUUUUCCAACUUUUAUGAUUUUAUGACUGAGAAACACAAACGCAAACACAAAGAUCAGAGAAGGAAAGGGAAUAAGGUCCCAUGUCCCAGAGCACAUAUUUCCCUGCAGCUUGUGGAAAGGACCAUAGUGGAGCAGGCAUUGUAAGAGACUAUUCUUUUUAUAUCAUUGACUCAAAGUUUGCUGAGGAACAAGUCCAGGCAAGUCCUGGGCAAAGGCAGAGAAAUCUUUUGUCUUGAGGACACUGAUGGACAGGUCCUGGCU